UACGCGUGGAACGUGCCUUUCACUACGGAAUAGCUUUUGGAAACGAAAGGUAAUACCGUAUACGCCCUCCGGGGGAAAGAUUUAUCGGUGAAAGAUCGGUCCGCGUUAGAUUAGCUAGUUGGUGAGGUAACGGCUCACCAAGGCUACGAUCUAUAGCUGGUCUGAGAGGAUGAUCAGCCACACUGGAACUGAGACACGGUCCAGACUCCUACGGGAGGCAGCAGUGGGGAAUAUUGCACAAUGGGCGCAAGCCUGAUGCAGCCAUGCCGCGUGAAUGAUGAAGGCCUUAGGGUUGUAAAAUUCUUUCGCCAGGGAUGAUAAUGACAGUACCUGGUAAAGAAGCCCCGGCUAACUUCGUGCCAGCAGCCGCGGUAAUACGAAGGGGGCUAGCGUUGUUCGGAAUUACUGGGCGUAAAGCGCACGUAGGCGGACUUUUAAGUCAGAUGUGAAAUCCCGAGGCUCAACCUCGGAACUGCAUUUGAAACUGGGAGUCUAGAGAUCAGGAGAGGUUAGCGGAAUACCGAGUGUAGAGGUGAAAUUCGUAGAUAUUCGGUGGAACACCAGUGGCGAAGGCGGCUAACUGGACUGAUACUGACGCUGAGGUGCGAAAGUGUGGGGAGCAAACAGGAUUAGAUACCCUGGUAGUCCACACCGUAAACGAUGAGUGCUAGCUGUCUGCAGGCAUGCCUGUAGGUGACGCAGCUAACGCAUUAAGCACUCCGCCUGGGGAGUACGGCCGCAAGGUUAAAACUCAAAGAAAUUGACGGGGGCCCGCACAAGCGGUGGAGCAUGUGGUUUAAUUCGAAGCAACGCGCAGAACCUUACCUACGCUUGACAUGCCCGGACGAUUUCCAGAGAUGGAUCU
rnacentral:rRNA from 1 species